UACGUAGGCAGCAAGCGUUGUUCGGAAUCACUGGGCGUAAAGAGUGUGUAGGCGGUGCUCUAAGUUCGGUGUGAAAUCUCCCGGCUCAACUGGGAGGGUGCGCCGGAAACUGGGGUGCUGGAGCGCGGGAGAGGAAAGCGGAAUUCCUGGUGUAGCGGUGAAAUGCGUAGAUAUCAGGAGGAACACCGGCGGUGUAGACGGCUUUCUGGACCGUAGCUGACGCUGAGACACGAAAGCGUGGGUAGCAAACAGG
rnacentral:rRNA from 1 species